UAGUGCCAGCACAUUUGGGUUGGCUUUUCUCUCACGUACAGACUUGAUGAAACCGGGUGGGAAAACGGGUGGCCCCCCCCCUGCCUGCCUGGGCCCGAGUGGUGGUCUAUUUUAUUUAGUCUAAAACGUUCGUAGCCGGUUCGAUAAAUUUUUGGGUAAAUCGGGGGGCUUAACCUUCCUUCUUUCGAGAAUACUUGUCUAGUUGGGACCCGGGAAAGGUAAAAGGUCUUUUGGGGGAGGGGAAAAAUCCUUGCAUCCUAGAACGGCCCACGGGGGGGGAGG
rnacentral:rRNA from 1 species